GAUGAAGAACGCAGCGAAAUGCGAUAAGUAAUGUGAAUUGCAGAAUUCAGUGAAUCAUCGAAUCUUUGAACGCACAUUGCGCCCGCCAGCAUUCUGGCGGGCAUGCCUGUUCGAGCGUCCUUUCAACCCUCGAGCCCCCCCGGGGGCCUCGGUGUUGGGGGACGGCACACCAGCCGCCCCCGAAAUGCAGUGGCGACCCCGCCGCAGCCUCCCCUGCGUAGUAGCACACACCUCGCACCGGAGCGCGGAGGCGGUCACGCCGUAAAACGCCCAACUUUCUUAGAGUUGACCUCGGAUCAGGUAGGAAUACCCGCUGAACUUAAGCAUAUCAAUAAGCGGAGGA
rnacentral:misc_RNA from 1 species